AGUGAACGCUGGCGGUAGGCUUAACACAUGCAAGUCGAACGGUAGCACUGUAUGCGCUUGCUCUGACGGGUGGCGGGUGGCGGACGGGUGAUGCAUACAUAGGCAUCUCUUGUUUCGUGGGGGAGCAUGUAGGGCUAGUUACGCUACUACAUCCUACGUGUUACGGGUGAAUGCAGUGGAGCUUGGGACCUUGUGCGUUUGGAUGAGCCGAUGUCGGAUUAGCUUGUUGGCGGGGUAAUGGCCCACCAAGGCGACGAUCCGUAGCUGGUCUGAGAGGAUGAUCAGCCACCCUGGAACGGAGACAGCGUCCAGACUCCUACGGGAGGCAGCAGUGGGGAAUAUUAGACAAUGGGCGCAAGCCUGGUCCAGCCAGACCGCGUCGGUGAAGAAGGCCUUCGGGUUGUAAAGCCCUUUUGUUGGGAAAGAAAAGCAGCAGGUUAAGACCCCGCUGUACUGACGGUACCCAAAGAAUAAGCACCGGCUAACUUCGUG
rnacentral:rRNA from 1 species